UACCACACCAAGCUUUUCAUUGCCGCAAAACACAGAGGCUCUGGAUAAAAAGUUGUGGUUACAGCAAAUAAUUUCGGUAGCGAUUAAACUGCACUUGGCAAAAUUAUGCCAGCCAUUUGCGGUUAACAACUGCUGAAACAA
rnacentral:snoRNA from 1 species